CUGCAGCUCGAGUGGUGGCCACUAUUAUUGGGCCUAAAACGUCCGUAGCCGGUCUUGUAAAUGCCUGGGUAAAUCGUACGGCUUAACCGUACGAACUCCGGGUAGACUGCAAAACUUGAGACCGGGAGAGGUUAGAGGUACUCCUGGGGUAGAGGUGAAAUUCUGUAAUCCUAGGGGGACCACCAGUGGCGAAGGCGUCUAACUAGAACGGGUCUGACGGUGAGGGACGAAGCCCUGGGGCGCAAACCGGAUUAGAUACCCGAGUAGUCC
rnacentral:rRNA from 1 species